GAUGAACGCUGGCGGCGUGCCUAAUACAUGCAAGUCGAACGAACAGACGAGAACGUUGCUUGUCUGAUGUUAGAGGCGGACGUGUGAGUAACACAUGGACAACCUGCUUAUAAGACUGGGAGCACUUCGUGAAACCGUAGCUCAUACGGUAUAAUAUUUUAAACCGCAUUGUUCAAAGGUAAAAGACGGUCUGGCUCUCUCGUAUAGCUGGAUCCGUGUUGCAUUAGCUAGUUGGUAAGGUAACGGCUUACCAAGGCAACGAUGCAUAGCGGACCUGAGAGGGUGAUCGGCCACACUGGAACUGAGACACGGCCCAGACUCCUACGGGAGGCAGCAGUAGGGAAUUUUGCGCAAUGGGCGAAAGCCUGACGGAGCAACGCCGCGUGCAUGAUGAAGGUCUUCGGAUCGUAAAACUCUGUUAUUAGGGAAGAACAGAUGUGUAAGUAAAUGUGCACAUCUUGACGGUACCUAAUCAGAAAGCCACGGCUAACUACGUG
rnacentral:rRNA from 1 species